ensembl:lncRNA
CAUUACUUUUACAAGUAUGGAGUGAAUCCCAUUCAGGCUUAGCCUACACCAUCUAACACAGAGGCACCACUGGGUGGAGUUGAAGCCGAGGCAUCUGUCUGGGAGGCGAGAGUGCUAACCACUACACCACUGUACCGUGUCAACUGCUGCCGGUAGAAUGUCUUAUGAAUCCAAUUUAGAAUAAAUUCGGAUUUUUAUUCAAAAGUAGGUUUUCUCACCAUCGUACACCUUCAUAUGACUAAAGAUAGAAUUUCAUUACUUUUUGCAAAGUAUUUUGGCAUUUUUUUUAGACUUGGAAGUUUAAAAAAAGUUUUUUCCAUUAAUUUUACAAAUAUGGAGUGAACCCCAUGCAGGCUUAGCCUACACCACCUAACACAGUGGCGCCACUGGGUGGAGUUGAACCCGAGGCAUCUCUCUGGGAGGCGAGGGUGCUAACCACUACACCACUGUACCGUGUCAACUGCUGCCAUUAGAAUGUCUAAUUACUCCAAUUUAGAAAAAAUCAGAAUUUUAAUCCAAAAGACGUUUUUCCACCGGCGGCCCCCGUUCAUAUGACUAAAGAUACAACUUCACGUCUUUUUGCAAAAUAUUUGGGGAUUCUUUUCAGAUGCGGAAUUUAAAAAAAGUUUUUUCCAUUUAUUUUACAAGUAUGGAGCGAACCUCAAGGUCGCUUACGCUACACUACCUAACACAGAGGCUCCACUGGGUGGAGUUGAACCCGAGGCAUCUGUCUGGGAGGCGAGAGUGCUAACCACUACACCACUGUACCGUGUCAACUGCUGCCGGUAGAAUGUCUUAUGAAUCCAAUUUAGAAAAAAUUCGGAUUUUUAUUCAAAAGUAGGUUUUCUCACCAUCGUACACCUUCAUAUGAAUAAAGAUAGAAUUUCAUUACUUUUUGCAAAAUAUUUUGGCAUUUUUUUUAGACUUGGAAGUUUAAAAAAAGUUUUUUCCAUUACUUUUACAAAUAUGGAGUGAACCCCAUGCAGGCUUAGCCUACACCACCUAACACAGUGGCGCCACUGGGUGGAGUUGAACCCGAGGCACCUGUCUGGGAGGCGAGAGUGCUAACCACUACACCACUGUACCGUGUCAACUGCUGCAAUUAGAUUGUCUAUUGACUCCAAUUUAGAAAAUAUCCGGAUUUUUAUUCAAAAGUACGUUUUCUCACCAUUGUCCCCCUUCAUAUGACUAAAAGAUAGAAUUUCAUGACAUUUUGCAAAAUAUUUUGGCAUUCUUUUCAGAUGCGAAAGUUUUAAAAAACGUUUUUCAUUAGUUUUACAAGUAUGGAGUGAAUCCCAUGCAGGCUUAGCCUACACCACCUAACACAGAGGCACCACUGGGUGGAGUUGAACCCGAGGCAUCUCUCUGGGAGGCGAGAGUGCUAACCACUACACCACUGUACCGUGUCAACUGCUGCCAUUAGAAUGUCUUAUGACUCCCAUUUAGAAAAAAUUCAGAUUUAUAUUCAAAAGUACGUUUUCUCACCGUCGUCGCCCUUCAUAUGACUAAAGAUAAAACUUCUCGACUUUUUGCAAAAUAUUUGGGGAUUCUUUUCAGAUGCGGAAGUUUAAUAAAAGUUUUUUCCAUUAUUUUUACAAUUAUGGAGUGAACCCCAUGCAGGCUUAGCCUACACCACCUAACACAGAGGCACCACUGGGUGGAGUUGAACCCGAGGCAUCUCUCUGGGAGGCGAGAGUGCUAACCACUACACCACUGUACCGUGUCAACUGCUGCCAUUAGAAUGUCUUAUGACUCCAAUUCAGAAAGAAUCGAGAUUUAUAUUCAAAAGUACGUUUUCUCACCAUUGUCCCCCUUCAUAUGACUAAAGAUAGAAUUUCAUGACAUUUUGCAAAAUAUUUUGGCAUUCUUUUCAGAUGCGAAAGUUUUAAAAAACGUUUUUCAUUAGUUGUACAAGUAUGGAGUGAAUCCCAUGCAGGCUUAGCCUACACCACCUAACACAGAGGCACCACUGGGUGGAGUUGAACCCGAGGCAUCUCUCUGGGAGGCGAGAGUGCUAACCACUACACCACUGUACCGUGUCAACUGCUGCCAUUAGAAUGUCUUAUGACUCCAAUUCAGAAAGAAUUCAGAUUUAUAUUCAAAAGUACGUUUUCUCACCGUCGUCGCCCUUCAUAUGACUAAAGAUAGAAUUUCAUGACUUUUUGCAAAAUAUUUUGGCAUUCUUUUCAGAUGCGGAAGUUUUAAAAAACUUUUUUCAUUACUUUUACAAGUAUGGAGUGAAUCCCAUGCAGGCUUAGCCUACACAACCUAACACAGAGGCACCACUGGGCGGAGUUGAACCCGAGGCAUCUCUCUGGGAGGCGAGAGUGCUAACCACUACACCACUGUACCGUGUCAAUUGCAGCCAUUAGAAUGUCUAAUUACUCCAAUUUAGAAAAAAAUCAGAUUUUUGUUCAAAAGUACGUUUUCUCACCGGCGUCCCCCGUUCAUAUGACUAAAGAUACAACUUCACGACUUUUUGCAAAAUAUUUGGGGAUUCUUUUCAGAUGCGGAAGUUUUAAAAAACUUUUUUCCAUUACUUUUACAAGUAUGGAGUGAAUCCCAUUCAGGCUUAGCCUACACCAUCUAACACAGAGGCACCACUGGGUGGAGUUGAACCCGAGGCAUCUGUCUGGGAGGCGAGAGUGCUAACCACUACACCACUGUACCGUGUCAACUGCUGCCGGUAGAAUGUCUUAUGAAUCCAAUUUAGAAAAAAUUCGGAUUUUUAUUCAAAAGUAGGUUUUCUCACCAUCGUACACCUUCAUAUGACUAAAGAUAGAAUUUCAUUACUUGUUGCAAAAUAUUUUGGCAUUUCUUUUAGACUUGGAAGUUUAAAAAAAAAAAUUUCCAUUACUUUUACAAAUAUGGAGUGAACCCCAUGCAGGCUUAGCCUACACCACCUAACACAGUGGCACCACUGGGUGGAGUUGAACCCGAGGCACCUGUCUGGGAGGCGAGAGUGCUAACCACUACACCACUGUACUGUGUCAACUGCUGCAAUUAGAUUGUCUAUUGACUCCGAUUUAGAAAAUAUCCGGAUUUUUAUUCAAAAGUACGUUUUCUCACCAUUGUCCCCCUUCAUAUGACUAAAGAUAGAAUUUCAUGACAUUUUGCAAAAUAUUUGGGGAUUCUUUUCAGAUGCGGAAUUUAAAAAAAAAAUUUUCCAUUGCUUUUACAAGUAUGGAGCGAACCCCAAGGUCGCUUACCCUACACUACCUAACACAGAGGCUCCACAGGGUGGAGUUGAACCCGAGGCAUCUCUCUGGGAGGCGAGAGUGCUAACCACUACACCACUGUACCGUGUCAACUGCAGCCAUUAGAAUGUCUAAUUACUCCAAUUUAGAAAAAAAUCAGAUUUUUAUUCAAAAGUACGUUUUCUCACCAUUGUCCCCCUUCAUAUGACUAAAGAUAGAAUUUCAUGACAUUUCUGUGGUGGAAGAUUUUGCACAGACAAUCGUUAAGUAAGAAUCAAAGGCUCUGAGUCAAGUAUGUCUUUUCUCCGUUUAUUUCCUUGCAAGGGAAAAAGGGUCCCAACAGCUACGUGGUCAGUAGACUGUCAAGAACCUCCUUUUCUUCCCAACACAUCGAGGCAGUUCUUAUACCUAAACUUAGAUAUCGGUGGCGUCAACAGAGACCGUUAACCAUCUUGUUGAGUCUCUACAGCCAGGGUACUGGGAACACCUUGUCCAUGUGAGACACAUCAGUUCUUUGACCGUGUCCUUGCUCUCCCAACAUGCUUAAACAAAGGUGGUCAUAGACAUAACAAACACUUUGUUCAGUCUCUACAGCUAUGACGCUGGAAACAUCUAAUCCAAGUGGGAGACAUCAGUUCUUAUGUCAGGGCCUUUGUGACCUAAGCACUUGCAACUAAUAAACUGGUUAUACAAAUGAAGCAUUUAAAAGGGUCACAUAUCAUUUUCCCAUUACAUUCCACUCUUUUGAUUACAUAAUAAUCACAAACUAUGCAAUCAAUUUAGAAUGACUACUCUAAAAAUUCACUAGCUGAUAUCUACC